rnacentral:tRNA from 1 species
GGCGCUGUGUCCGAGUGGUUAAGGAGAUGCACUAGAACAAUCUAGUCUUUGAUAUAGAAGAUCCAAUGCAUUAGGCUCUGCCUGCACAGGUUCGAGUCCUGUCGGCGUCG